rnacentral:lncRNA from 1 species
UGGUAUGUAUUUGCACAUAUCUAAUUCCCUAUCAAUUAAAUUUCACUUAAUUUCAUUCAUAUGUGAUAUUCUAUAAUCUCUUCUAAAUCUUGUUCUAAAUUAUGGAGCUUCAUUCUAACGGUUGAAGAUGAAGUUUAUUCAUUUACCAGAAAUCUCUAGGGUGCAAUUUGAUUGGUCUCUUGUCAGAGUUUAUUUUUCUUUUCCUCGACCGUGAUUUCCUU